CCCUUAGAUGUUCUGGGCCGCACGCGUGCUACACUGAGUGGAUCAGCGGGUCAGGUUGCGCGAAAGCGUUUCCUAAUCUUUAAAUCCGCUCGUGAUGGGGAUUGACGGUUGCAAUUUUCUGUCAUGAACGAGGAAUACCUUGUAAGCGCGGGUCAUCAUCCCGCGCUGAAUACGUCCCUGCCCUUUGUACACACCGCCCGUCGCUCCUACCGAUUGAGUGGUCCGAUGAAUACCAUGGAUUGAGAGUACGAAUAGGUUCGCUUAUUUCUGCUGCUCGAGAAGUGGAGUAAAUCUUAUCAUUUAGAGGAAGGAGAAGUCGUAACA
rnacentral:rRNA from 1 species